rnacentral:rRNA from 1 species
UACAGAGACUGCGAGCGUUGUUCGGAUUUACUGGGCGUAAAGGGCGCGUAGGCGGCAAUUCAAGUCAUCUGUGAAAUCUCCGGGCUUAACUCGGAACGGUCAGAUGAUACUGCUUUGCUAGAGUGCGGAAGGGGCAAUCGGAAUUCUCGGUGUAGCGGUGAAAUGCGUAGAUAUCGAGAGGAACACCUGAGGUGAAGACGGGUUGCUGGGCCGACACUGACGCUGACAGCGCGAAAGCCAGGGGAGCAAACGGG